GAUGAACGCUGGCGGCGUGCCUAAUACAUGCAAGUCGAGCGAACGGACGAGAAGCUUGCUUCUCUGAUGUUAGCGGCGGACGGGUGAGUAACACGUGGAUAACCUACCUAUAAGACUGGGAUAACUUCGGGAAACCGGAGCUAAUACCGGAUAAUAUUUUGAACCGCAUGGUUCAAAAGUGAAAGACGGUCUUGCUGUCACUUAUAGAUGGAUCCGCGCUGCAUUAGCUAGUUGGUAAGGUAACGGCUUACCAAGGCAACGAUGCAUAGCCGACCUGAGAGGGUGAUCGGCCACCCUGGAACUGAGACACGGUCCAGACUCCUACGGGAGGCAGCAGUAGGGAAUCUUCCGCAAUGGGCGAAAGCCUGACGGAGCAACGCCGCGUGAGUGAUGAAGGUCUUCGGAUCGUAAAACUCUGUUAUUAGGGAAGAACAUAUGUGUAAGUAAAUGUGCACAUCUUGACGGUACCUAAUCAGAAAGCCACGGCUAACUACGUG
rnacentral:rRNA from 1 species